AAUCAACGCUGGCGGCGUGCCUCAGACAUGCAAGUCGAACGAUUAAAGCUCUCUUCGGAGAGUGCAUAGAGUGGCGCACGGGUGAGUAACACGUAAGUAAUCUACCUUCGAGUGGGGAAUAACAUCGGGAAACCGAUGCUAAUACCGCAUAAUGCAGCGGCAUCGCAAGAUGACAGUUGUUAAAGAAUUUAUUCGCUUGAAGAGGAGCUUGCGGCAGAUUAGCUAGUUGGUAAGGUAAUGGCUUACCAAGGCUACGAUCUGUAACCGGUCUAAGAGGACGGUCGGUCACACUGACACUGAAUAACGGGUCAGACUCCUACGGAGGCAGCAGUCGGGAAUUUUGGGUCAAUGGGCGAAAGCCUGACCCAGCAACGCCGCGUGAAGGAUGAAGUAUUUCGGUAUGUAAACUUCGAAAGAAUAGGAAGAAUAAAUGACGGUACUAUUUAUAAGGUCCGGCUAACUACGUGCCAGCCGCCGCCGU
rnacentral:rRNA from 1 species